rnacentral:lncRNA from 1 species
AUCAGGUCUUAACUAAGCUAGCAAUCAGAAGCUAGGGACUUAUGGAUGUACACACUUUAGAAAAGUGUAGCAUUUGGAAGUCACUCUGUGAACAAGGAAAUAAAAGGAAACCCCAAGACAUGGACCACUGGUCAGAAAAUGAACAAUAAAAACUACAGGUUUAAAGUUACUGUGUUAUCUUAAUUCAAAUCUAGCACAUAUAAAAUAUCCAUUUGGAAAUGAAGUAUAUACUCUUUUUGAAAUAUCAAUGCAAGUAGAGAGGCCAGAAAAAUGAAGCUGGAUGGUGUUGGAGGAAGACUUCCAAGGACUGCUCUCAGAAGGCUAACAACAGGUUAAGAUUUAUUUUUAAGAAAGAGAGAGGGAGAGAGGACUCAAGUGCAUCAUUGAGCACGAGUGGGGCGAGGAGCAGAAGGAGAAAAUCCUCAAGCAGACUCCCGCUGAUCAUGGAUCCCAACCGACUGGGGCCGGCUCUCAGGACAUUGAGAUUAUGACCUGAGCCAAAAUCAAGAAGCAGAGGCUUAACCAACCGAGCCACACAGGUGCCCCAUAAAAUAGUAUAAUUUUAUACAGGCAAGUUUCUCUUUCUCUCUUGCUAUUUCUCUCUUUCUUGCUCUCUCUCUCUCUCUCUC